GACGAACGCUGGCGGCGUGCUUAACACAUGCAAGUCGAACGGAAAGGCCCCUUUGGGGGUACUCGAGUGGCGAACGGGUGAGUAACACGUGAGUAACCUGCCCUUGACUUCGGGAUAACUUCAGGAAACUGGGGCUAAUACCGGAUAGGAAUCCUUGCUGCAUGGUGGGGGUUGGAAAGCUUCGGCGGUUUUGGAUGGACUCGCGGCUUAUCAGCUUGUUGGUGGGGUAGUGGCUUACCAAGGCUUUGACGGGUAGCCGGCCUGAGAGGGCGACCGGCCAACUUGGGACUGGGAUACGGCCCCGACUCCUACGGGAGGCAGCAGUGGGGAAUAUUGCACAAUGGGCGGAAGCCUGAUGCAGCAACGCCGCGUGCGGGAUGACGGCCUUCGGGUUGUAAACCGCUUUCAGCAGGGGCGAAGCUUGUGGUGACGGUACCUGCAGAAGAAGCACCGGCUAACUACGUG
rnacentral:rRNA from 1 species